UACGGGGGGAGCAAGCGUUGUUCGGAUUUACUGGGCGUAAAGGGCGCGUAGGCGGUCAGCACAAGUCAGUUGUGAAAUCUCCGGGCUUAACUCGGAAAGGUCAACUGAUACUGUGCGACUAGAGUGCGGAAGGGGCAACUGGAAUUCUCGGUGUAGCGGUGAAAUGCGUAGAUAUCGAGAGGAACACCUGCGGCGAAGGCGGUUGCCUGGGGCUUUGCUGACGCUGAUGCGCGAAAGCGUGGGGAGCGAUCCGG
rnacentral:rRNA from 1 species